AUUCAACGCUGGCGGCAGGCCUAACCCAUGCAAGUCGAGCGAGCGGCGGACGGGUGAGUAAUGUCUGGGAAACUGCCUGAUGGGGGGGGAUAACUACUGGAAAAGGUAGCUAAUACCGCAUACCAUCAGCUGUGCCCAGAUGGGAUUCGCUCGUAGGUGGGGUAAUGUCUCACUUAAGCGACGCACCCUAGAUGGUCUGAGAGGAUGACCAGCCACACGGGAACUGAGACCCGGUCCAGACGCCUGCGGUAUGCAGCAGGGGGGAAUAGUUCACAUGGGGCGCAAGCCUGAUGAGGCCAUGACGCGUGUGUGAAGAAGGCCUUCGGGUUGGAAAGCACUGUCAGCGGGGAGGCGUUACCCGCAGAAGAAGCACCGGCUAACUCCGUGCCAGCAGCGGCGGUAAUUC
rnacentral:rRNA from 1 species